AUUGAACGCUGGCGGCAGGCCUAACACAUGCAAGUCGAGCGAGCGGCGGACGGGCGAGUAAUGUAUGGGGACUGCCUGAUAGAGGGGGAUAACUACUGGAAACGGUGGCUAAUACCGCAUACUGUCGGAUCACCCAUCUUGGAUUAGCUAGGUGGUAAGGGAAUGGCUUACCUAGGCGACGAUCACUAGCUGGUCUGAAGGGAUGAUCAGCCACACGGGUACUGAGACACGGCCCAGCCUCCUACGGAGGCAGGAGGGGGGAAUAUUGCACUAUGGGCGCAAGCCUGAUGCAGCCAUGCCGCGUGUGUGAAGAAGGCCCUAGGGUUGUAAAGUACUUUCAGUCGGGAGGCGUUACCGACAGAAGAAGCACCGGCUAACUCCGUGCCAGCAGCCGCGGUAAUAC
rnacentral:rRNA from 1 species